rnacentral:rRNA from 1 species
CCUACGGGUGGCAGCAGUGAGGAAUAUUGGUCAAUGGGCGCGAGCCUGAACCAGCCAAGUCGCGUGAGGGAAGACGGUCCUAUGGAUUGUAAACCUCUUUUGUCGGGGAGCAAAAGACGCCACGCGUGGCGUUCCGAGAGUCCCCGAAGAAAAAGCAUCGGCUAACUCCGUGCCAGCAGCCGCGGUAAUCAGGGGGAUGCGAGCGUUAUCAGGAUUUAUUGGGGUUAAGGGGUGCGCAGGGGGAAGAUCAAGUGAGCGGUAAAAGUGAGAGGCUCAACCUCUUCGAGCCGUUGAAACUGGUUGUCUUGAGUGAGCGAGAAGUAUGCGGAAUGCGUGGUGUAGCGGUGAAAUGCAUAGAUAUCACGCAGAACUCCGAUUGCGAAGGCAGCAUACCGGCGCUCAACUGACGCUCAUGCACGAAAGUGUGGGUAUCGAACAGGAUUAGAUACCCGUGUAGUC